rnacentral:rRNA from 1 species
CCUACGGGGGGCACCAGUGGGGAAUAUUGGACAAUGGGCGCAAGCCUGAUCCAGCCAUACCGCGUGGGUGAAGAAGGCCUUCGGGUUGUAAAGCCCUUUUGUUGGGAGAGAAAUCCAGCUGGUUAAUACCCGGUUGGGAUGACGGUACCCAAAGAAUAAGCACCGGCUAACUUCGUGCCAGCAGCCGCGGUAAUACGAAGGGUGCAAGCGUUACUCGGAAUUACUGGGCGUAAAGCGUGCGUAGGUGGUCGUUUAAGUCCGUUGUGAAAGCCCUGGGCUCGACCUGGGAACUGCAGUGGAUACUGGGCGACUAGAGUGUGGUAGAGGGUAGCGGAAUUCCUGGUGUAGCAGUGAAAUGCGUAGAGAUCAGGAGGAACAUCCAUGGCGAAGGCAGCUACCUGGACCAGCACUGACACUGAGGCACGAAAGCGUGGGGAGCAAACAGGAUUAGAUACCCUCGUAGUC